ACGGAGGGUGCAAGCGUUAUCCGGAUUCACUGGGUUUAAAGGGUGCGUAGGCGGACAGGUAAGUCAGUGGUGAAAUCUCUGGGCUUAACCCAGAAACUGCCGUUGAUACUAUUUGUCUUGAAUAUCCUGGAGGUAGGCGGAAUAUGUCAUGUAGCGGUGAAAUGCUUAGAUAUGACAUAGAACACCGAUAGCGAAGGCAGCUUACUACAGGAUGAUUGACGCUGAGGCACGAAAGCGUGGGGAGCAAACAGGA
rnacentral:rRNA from 1 species